rnacentral:rRNA from 1 species
UCAAGGGGCGGCAUGACAUUACUAGCGGCGAGUGAGCGGCAAAAGCUCAAAUUUGAAAUCUGGCUCUUUCAGAGUCCGAGUUGUAAUUUGAAGAAGGUAUCUUUGGGUCUGGCUCUUGUCUAUGUUUCUUGGAACAGAACGUCACAGAGGGUGAGAAUCCCGUGCGAUGAGAUGAUCCAGGCCUAUGUAAAGUUCCUUCGAAGAGUCGAGUUGUUUGGGAAUGCAGCUCUAAGUGGGUGGUAAAUUCCAUCUAAAGCUAAAUAUUGGCGAGAGACCGAUAGCGAACAAGUACAGUGAUGGAAAGAUGAAAAGAACUUUGAAAAGAGAGUGAAAAAGUACGUGAAAUUGUUGAAAGGGAAGGGCUUGAGAUCAGACUUGGUAUUUUGUAUGUUACUUCUUCGGGGGUGGCCUCUACAGUUUAUCGGGCCAGCAUCAGUUUGGGCGGUAGGAGAAUUGCGUUGGAAUGUGGCACGGCUUCGGUUGUGUGUUAUAGCCUUCGUCGAUACUGCCAGCCUAGACUGAGGACUGCGGUUUAUACCUAGGAUGUUGGCAUAAUGAUCUUAAGUCGCCCGUCUUGAAACACGGGACCAGUU